CCCUGUUCCCCCUCCCCUGCCCCCUCAGCCUGCGGGCAGCAGAAGGCGGCGGCCAGCCUCCUCCUGCCCCUCGGCCGGACGAACCGCGGCUGCCGCGCCUGUCACCUCUGCACCUGCCCGGCUGAGAGACCUUGACCAUUCAGGCAAUCCCUUGCAGAUAAAGGAGAGGAGGCUACCGGACAGCCACAUGGAUUAAGCUUCAAGAAGCCAGGGAGAUCCCGGGAGAGUUAUGGAUUGGGGACAAGAGAUGCAGCAGGAAGGAUGCGUGUUGAUUUCUGCAGACCUUGGGGGCAAUUGAGUGGGGCCAGGAUGUUUCCUCACAUGCCUGUGUGUGACGCUGUGUACCCACGUAUGUGUUGUUUCCACAUUCUUGUUUGAUUCUAGAAAGGUACAUGGAUACAACGCGUGUGGGUGUACGAAGUGUAUGCAUGCUUAUGUGUGCUGCCGGAUAAACAUAUGGCUUUGUGUAGUCACACAUGAUACGUGCAUGACGCUUGUACUUAGCUUCCUAUAAAAAGUAUAUGGUAGU
rnacentral:lncRNA from 1 species